AUAUUUUACUAAAACACCCACUAAUUUUUCAUCAUAGGAAAAAAUACUUUGUUAUAAUGUAAUUACUUUCUAUUUAGUUUGAAUUACUUAGGUCAGAGGUACCAUCACUGUUUCAUCUUAUUUUGUUUUGUUGGGGUUUUUUUUAGUGCUUGGUGUUAAUAGUCCUUCCUGACCUUAUUAACUCUUUUGCCAGUUGUCACCAUUCAGAUCUCUGCUCAUUCAUGGGCUGAGUCUGAUACUGAUUUCUACAUAAGAAAAAAAAAAUACUAUAAUGCCCUCAGCCUGGCCAACUAGUGGAGCUUGGCAUUAACCAUUUCCUCAUACCUAGGAACCUCAGGUGGGUCUCUGGCCCCAUUUGUCCUUUAGGUUUUCUUUGCUGCUGAUGGGAUUCAGGGAUUAUUUGCUUCAGGGGUGACAGGAUUCUUUGUUUGCUUCUAAGUGCUUUUGUUCUUUCUCUGGGGCCUUAUUCCUGCAAUUCAACUUUUACUUCUCUGUUUUGUUUUAAAUAGUUGAGCACCACAGUGGAACCCCAUUUGAUAAGUGGGCCCUGCUACUGGUGGGAGCAGCCUUACUCGUAGAGCCACAGUUGUCACCCAUCUCCUCUUGUUCCACUGCUGGGCAGUCACCCACUUCCUAUGAAUUGGUCACAGUCUUUGGAUAUCAGGACACAUCUGGCCUGCAUCCCACAACUUGGCCAACGAAUUCUGUACAACAAAUAAUCCAGGAAAAUGGAUGCCUCCACAGUACGAAAAUACUUCCCCUGAAUGCAAUAAAAG